rnacentral:ncRNA from 1 species
UGGGGCCUUCACGGCGACCGCCCAUCAGGCAGCUCGCCCAAGCGUCGC